rnacentral:sRNA from 1 species
UUUUUGCGUGAAGGAUAGUAGCGACAUCCUUUUUAUUUUUUUAAAAAGAUAUAGCGAAUAGCCUGACCGUAA